CGGGCGCUGGGGCGGCUGCGGGCGCCGCCGCAUCUUCCGCCGGGCGGCUCGGAAGAUGGUGCAGCAGCAGCAGACGGGGGCGGCCAGGAGGGGCGGCGGAGGAGGAGGAGGGGGGCGCGGCGAGGCGGCCGACAGUGGCAUCAGCGACAUGAGCGCGGCAUCGAGCCCCAACCCCUGGAGCGGGACCCCGGGCCGCGGCGACGAGGAGGGCGCGGGCUGCUGUCAGCCCGACUGGUGCAAGACGCCGAGCGGCCACAUCAAGCGGCCGAUGAACGCCUUCAUGGUGUGGUCGCAGAUCGAGAGGAAGAAGAUUAUGGAACAGGUGCCCGACAUGCACAACGCCGAGAUCUCCAAGCGGCUCGGCAAGAAGUGGAAGAUGCUGAAAGAGGCCGAGAAGAGCCCGUUUAUCCGGGAGGCGGAGCGGCUGCGCCUCAAGCACAUGGCGGACUACCCCGACUACAAGUACCGACCGCGGAAGAAGGUACGGGGAGAGACGGCCGCCGCCCCCUCCUCCUCCUCUGCCGCUGCCGCCCCCGCCUCCGACAGCAAGCCUCACAAGAAGCCGCCGGGUAAGAAGCACAGCCGGACGCACAAAGCCAAGCAGCUGCUGGAGCGCUCCAAAGCCAAGCGUGCCAAGGCGCAGGGUCAGCUCGGCGGCGUGGGGCCGAGCGGCCGCCGCCCGCAGCCGCCCGACCUAGAGUCGGAGCCCGAACCGGAGAAUGAGGAGGAGGAGGACGAGGAGGAGCCCGAGGACGACGAGGAGCCCGAGGAGUUGCUGCACUACUGCCUGGCCGGCAAGAAAGCGGGCGCUGAGCUCAGGACCCCCGGGCGCCCGGCGCUGCUGCCCGCCGCCCACGCCCGGCCGCCCGACGACUGCGACCAGCAGCUGCUGCUCUUCGACCUGAGCCUGAACGUCGCGGCGGGCGGAGGGCUGUCCGGCCCGGGCGGCAACCUGUCCCUGGACAAGGACAGCGACUCUCUGGCGGGCGGCAGCAGCCCCGUGUCCCACUUCGAGUUCCCCGACUACGGGACCCCCGAGGUGCGCAAAAUGAUCUCAGGAGACUGGCUGGAAAUCGAGUCCAAUAUUUCCUACUAGGUUGACGGACCGAGCCGGGCGUCGCCUCCCUCCCCCCUCUUCCGUCUACCCCCUCCCCUCUCUCUCUCCCUCCCGGCCGGUUCCAACGCAUCGGAUGCAAUUCUCUUCCCCGGAGGAUGAACGACGCCUCUCUCCUCCCCAACCCCCUGCUGGAAGCUCGUCCUGCCAAGGGCUGUUCCUUUGAGCCUUCCCCGGGGCGAAGCCGUUGUCCUCAGACCCGUGCCCGUGGGAAGGAGCUCCCUCAUCUCCCUGUGAAUGUGAACGAUGGGGAGGGGGGAGAGGAAGGAGUGAAGGAGAAAUGCUCGAUGCCCGCGUAAUGGAUGGCAAGUUCACGGGAUAGCUGCCCAGUAAACCAUCGAAAGUAUCCCGGAUAAUCGGCCCAUCCAAACUGUACAAGAUUGUGUGCGGUGGCCACCGGCCGUAGUGAUACAUGUGGCGACUAAGUACUUGUCGCUGACUGGGCAUGUGAUACUUUCAAAGGGGUUUUUAUCGUUCGUUUCUUAUUUUUCUGUAUUAAUUUCAAUGUUGCGAUGAUGUCAGUAUUUUGGAUUUCAUGGUAUCAUGAUAUAUUGGGAUGUGUAAACCCAUGAUAUUAGAAAACUUAUGAUUUUAUAACACAACCUUGAUUUUAAACAAAAACUUGUGGGGAGUGGAGUAAAUCCCUUAAAAUAGAGACUAAAUUCCGAAUGAAUAUUAAUCUGUUCUGCAAUGCACCCGAGACUUGGCUUACUGUCAAGACUGCUUGCCCGUGUUUGCCCUCAGUUGUUAGGCUGCGAUAACAAUUGUAGAUGUAAAUUUUUGCAGCAGAGUAUCCCUGUCAGUGUUUGAUCUUUUUAGAAGGCUUUUCUGAUGCGUGGCCUACAGUCGGCGCAGGAUGGAGGGUACAUCGACCUGUCACCUCCUCCUUGGUUUAGGCCGCCCACUGUGCGAAAUGCACCUCAGCUAAAUUAUUCCUAAUAGAUUGUGAGCAUAAGUUCAAAAUUUCGUCAAAAUGCUCUCUCCCCUGCAAAUAGUGAAGAUUGAUGGAUUCUUCACUUCUGACCCUGCCAGGGCCAACAGCCCAGUUGGGAGAUGGACUUGCCCAGGGACUGCCCAUGGCGAAUGGGUUUAACACUAUUGAAUAUCACCCAGACGGAUGGUGUUAUUGACAUGAGAGAUUACAAGAACCUUCCCCAUACACAGGAGACAUUUUACAUCCAAAUUAUAACCUGUUCGCGAAUUAAAUGAGGAAAGCGAUUUAAAAUCGGAGGUUUCUGAGCAGUGUAGUAAUUCAGUAUUAUCCUUCGACUCUGGGGUUUAGAAAAACCUUUAGAUCUGGGGUUCCCAGCCUUUCUAUGCCAUGGACCAAUACCAUCAAGCAAGGGGUCCGUGGAGCCCAAGUUGGGAACCCCUAUAUUAGAAGAAGCUGAAGUCUAUUUGUAGCCUUGCCUGAUGGCAGAGAAUUCUUCCUGAACGUGAGUUCUCAGGAUAUGCCCUGCAAUUUUUAGUGGUUCCCCAAAUACAAAUACCGCCAGAAAGACUGAGGUGACAAUGUUUCCCGAAUUGCCUCUCUAUCUGAGCGCUUUACUGGACCAUCUCGAGGGUACAAGAGGCAAACUGCAUUGCUGCAGAUUUGUAAUUUCAACCACAUCAGUGACUCGAGUGGAUUUUGCAGGAAUCCUGUAUUACAGGUUUCUGGUAUUGAUAUCAGAAAUUCUGUUCCAGAUUCGUUACUUCAAUUUAAUGGCACUGGCUCUUGUUUCUGUUCAAAGUAGAUUUAUUAUCAAAGUAUGUAUACAUUAUACAACCUUGAGAUUUGUCUCUUCACAGGCAGCCACGAAACAAAGAAAUCCAAAAUAAACCAUUAAAAAAAGAUUGUCAAACAUCCAAUGUGCAGAGAGGGGGAAAAAAACUCUAAUUACUCUUUCUUGUGGGAUCAGUCAAGAUUCAAUUCAGAAUCUUGGUGGUAUGUGUUGGUUUAUUUAAAUGUUUAACAAGGCACUUGAAUUCCCCAGAAGCUGUUUAGAGAAGAUAGCAGUGUCCUUUGUUUCCCUUGUCCUGCUAACCUUGAGUUAGCAGGGGUUUAUGGAUAAAAUAUGGUCUGCGAAUGAGUCUCCUGCUCAAUGGAUAAACUUGCAAAGACAAGUUCCUACCUUCUAGUAGGACAUGGCUGCAAGAGAGAUAUCUAAUUGCCUUCCUUCCAGAUUAUGAAGACUAACAAUUUGAGAACUCCUUUAUUCUGUCUUCCUCCUCUUCGGUUUUCUAGUAUUUAUUUUAUUCAGAAAUCAUCAGAAUAAAAACUGAAGCCAUUUAUAGCUCCGACACUUUGUCCAGAUGCUGGCCAAUCAUCUUGCCCAAGACAAGACAGACGACAUUGAGAAGCAAGACUUGGCUGGUCAAAAGUUAGUCUUAGUUAAAUGACUGACUUCCAUUUUUUGACGUAAACCUAUCAAUAUUUAGGAGCAUAGUUAGCAAAUCCUGUUUGCUUAAGUCAUUACCUAUUAACACUAAAAUAAUUGUAGUUGUGGGCCAAUGAAUGUGAAGUUCAUUGUGUUCACCUCAGAAUAAAAGCAGCCACUCGUGGCCACAUUUCCAGCAGUCUAACGGAUUGCUCCAACGUGCACACUGAUGACAUAAUUUGUCAGGCCACAGAAUACUCUGAUUCCGCUCUGUGAGUUUACACUCUCUCUCCAUCGCAAUAGUAUUACGAGUGACAGGAAGAGCAUUAAGGUACUUGUGUAUUCUCCGGGAAAGACAUUGUUACAAACAUGUCUGACCACCAGAACCUUCAAAGACUUGGGGGAAAUUACAAAUAUUUACUUUAGAAGGAUUAAUUUGUCACAAUGACAAAAAGUAACAAUAUUCACAAAUUUUUCCAUAAAUACAUUAAAUAAAGGCACUUAUUAACAGGAUGAUGUAAGCCAUGUUUUAAUCUUUGAUUUAAUGGUGGUUACAUCCCAAUACAUCACGAAAAAUAACUGGAAUAGUGUUCUGCAACGAUACAUCAUCUUCAACUUCGAUUACAUUUUAAGGUCCUUUUUGAUGUGGUUUUGAAUUUGGGGGAGAUGGAAGUUAAUUCAAAACAGCACAAGGAUCUGCCUGAUGUUGAAAUGUUUGUAUAAAAGAUUUUUUAUGUGUACAGUGUAGACGUCAUUGUAUGUUUUUGAGAAGUGUUGGUGUACUGAGUUAUAUUGAUGUGCUCAUAAUUUAUUUUGUGCCAUAAUAGAUUUUUAAAAAAAUAUUU